rnacentral:rRNA from 1 species
CAGUCGCCGCGGGAAUACGUAGGGUGCAAGCGUUGUCCGGAAUUAUUGGGCGUAAAGAGCUCGUAGGCGGUUUGUCGCGUCUGCUGUGAAAACGCGAGGCUCAACCUCGCGCCUGCAGUGGGUACGGGCAGACUAGAGUGUGGUAGGGGAGAUUGGAAUUCCUGGUGUAGCGGUGGAAUGCGCAGAUAUCAGGAGGAACACCGAUGGCGAAGGCAGAUCUCUGGGCCAUUACUGACGCUGAGGAGCGAAAGCGUGGGGAGCGAACAGGAUUAGAGACCCCGGUAGUCCCUGUCUCUUAUAC